ACGACCUUACUUGAACAGGAUCUGUUCUAUAGGCUCGUACGUCUGUGUCCUUGAGUUCUAAGGAGACAGGAUAUCAAGUCUGGUGGAUGAAUUAUGAUCGUGUGAUCCGAGCGUGAUUAACGGCUCUCACUGAUCCCUAGGUUGCUGAGGCUGUAGAGGAUCGUUCUCAGCUGGGUUUCCCUGGCUGGGGGGGUCACACGGUUGUCUGACAGACU
rfam:Citrus clementina cultivar Clemenules unplaced genomic scaffold scaffold_4, whole genome shotgun sequence.